GGCGAGACGUAAGAUGUGAAUUCAUGCUUAUUUUAAUAUUAUUUCAAGACAUGAUUGGUUUGUGUCAAAUAAAAAUGAAUUUUAUUCUAAUUCUAAUAAUACUGAUGGGACUAUUCUUGCAACAGUCAAAAUCACACAGCUCUUUAUACAAAUCAUUAUUUGCUGAAUCUGGCUAUCCUAUGUUAGGUGACAUACCGUUGCUAAACCGUAAGUUUUCAGAUAUUCAGAGCCACGCGUGUGACAAUCAGGGAGCAUCCAUACAUUGUCAGUAUUCGUAGGAAAUAUGUUCAUUAUCUCACUGGCUGCUUACUAACAAAAAAUUUGGUUGUGACUGUGGCACACCCAUUAUACCGUGUGCCCGUAAAUGAACUAAACGUAGUCGUUGGAGAGAAUUAUUCAGACCGUGGUACCACAUUAUUGACAGUUGUCUUACUCCUCAUUCACAAGAACUUUGACCCUUACACUUUAAAAGCGGAUAUAUGUAUUUUGCGGUUUUACGAAGAUAUUGUCAUAAGAUCAUCGUCAAAGACUAUCGCUUUAAUGCCUCCAAUGGAUACUCUGACCGGGCAAGCAUUUGUAACAGGUUGGGGCCGUUGUGAUUUCACGGGCCGAGAUCUGUGUUUACCACGGUCAUCUGUUUAUUUUCCUGAGGAAUUGAUGGAUCCAAUGCUGCGGUCUAUCUCUUUUGUAAUAAGUUCGCCAAAUAAUGCUUGUGACGUUUACAGACAGCAUGACAAUCACAUCCAUAGAGGAAUGUUAUGUGUGGGAUAUUCAAGAGAUGUUAAACCAGUGGCACCAUGUUUAGGGGUGCCAGGUGCACCGCUGAUACUACGUGGUAAACUGGUUGGCCUCCUGUCUUGGGGACUAGGUUGUGGCUACGCACACGACCUGCCACUAAUUUAUACCAACAUACAGCAUUAUUUCUCGUGGUUUGUUACAAACGUUAAAAUUUUAAAAAAUAUCACCCAUCAACACAUUAAGGAAUUAUUCGUGGUAACAAAAUCCUAUAAACUAUCAGUUUGGCUUCAAAGGACAAGAGAAAAACUUAUAAUGAAGCCAGAAACGCGUUUAAAUUUACAACCGCUAUCCAUUGAUACGACACUGUCUAAAUUAGAAGGACGACUAUAUGAUGUAAGAGACUUCAUAAACAAUGGUACAUAUCGAUCAGAAAAAAAGGAUAUGUAUAAGGAAAUGAAAGUGAAACACGAUAUGCCGGCUAUACAUUUUUUCCUCAAUAAACCCCUAAAGACAGAACCUUUUCUAAGCAAUGAAAGCCUUUACGAUGAUAUAGAUUAUGACUACGAUUCAGACGUCGAAAAUUAAUGGAAUUAAAUGUUAUGGAUUGAGAUUUUAUUAGAAAAGGUUAAUUGCUACUCGGUUUGUUGCCGGUAAAUUGUUAGUGCUCUGUCCGAAUCCAGGAUUUUAAUAUAAAUAUGUAUCGAUCGUGUCAAGCAAACUUUCAAUCAUUAUAAUUUUAAAUUUUCAUAUUUAUAGCAUUGUAGUGGUGGUCAGUUAUUGUCAAAGUUUGUGAAUCUUGAAUGUACAAACUAAAAGACGAAAACCUAAAACUUUGUUUGUCACUGUUAAAAUACUUAUUAAAGUUUUGGAUUUAGUUUUUAGACGUAAAAAAUUGUGACGUUUCUAUCAAUUUACAAAAUAAACUAUAUAAACUAUCAUUUAAAAAUAUUGCAGUUCUGCGUACCAUUAGUUAUCACUUCCGACCUGAUGAUGGAUUUUUAGUGAUAUCGAAGUACUAAAAUAUUUUUAAAUGUUACGUGGUCAUGUUAUGUGAGUUUACCGAAGUAUACAUUUUAUUAAAUCAAAAUAUGUAUAAAUGUUUUGCUCGAAUCAGCGAUCCAGGCUACUGCCACUAAAUUAAAUAAGUCUGUAUUUAUUAACAAUUAUCGUGUUUAAGGUGGAAAAAAAUUUAAUUCAACUUGGCGAUAAUUGAGGUCAGAUAGCUUUUCAAUAAGCCAAUACUUAUUAUAUGUGCGACGUUCAUUGAGAGCCUGCAUUCAUUUAAUCCUUUGUUAGCAAAUAUUUUAUUAAAUAAUAGCACGUAAUAUAAAGUCACAAAGUCCUUUUUAUAUUAACUGUAAUUGCAUAGUCCGAUAAAGUUAUGUAAGAUAAAAAUAUUAUUUAUUUUUUCGUGAAAUCGUAGCAAGUUAUAUUUAAAAUAAAUAUUUAAAGCAAAUCUAUUCAAUAAACAAUUCAAACCUGUUGUCUUUAUUGAAUUGUAAUUUUUCAGCGAAUCAUUUUGGAAAGUAGGACGAUAUCGAGGGUAGCUUGACAACAACUUAAUUUACUUAUAAAGCAACUGUAUUUACAUAAUGCAUUUAUAAAAUUGAACAAUGUUGUAUUUAAAAACAGUACUAUUAUUUGGGUUCAGAAUUCAUAUAUAGGACGUUAAAGCCUUAAGAAGGCCAUGUAUGGGGUUUUAGCUGAUCCUUACAUCCAAAUUGUUUAAAUUUUGAAUUAAUUUUAUUAAAUAUACUCACAAGCGUCUAAACCUAUUGAAUGCUUUGUUGUAGAAAUCUCGUGUCUAACAAAUGAUGGUGUUUAAUGGUGUUUAGUACAUUGUUGAUAAAUUAAUGGAUAAAUUAAACAUACUUUUAUGUUGAUACUUUAUUUGGUUAAAUCCAUUGGUACAGCUUUUCUACAUU